rnacentral:lncRNA from 1 species
GCCUCCAUAAAAACCGAAAAGGAUGGAUUCAGAGAGCUCCCAAGUUGGUGAGCACCUGCAGGUGCUGAGAGAGUGGUAGAGCAGAGGGCUUGGAAGCUCCGAGCUCCUUCCCACAUACCUUGCCUCUUCAUCUGGCUGUUCAUCUGUAUCCUAUAUAAUGACCUUUUUAAUAGACUAGUAAAUAUUCCAGGUCCUGAUGCUUGUCAAAGUCUUGAUGGAUGGGAUUAGGGGGAGUCCAGCCAGGGCCUCAGGGCCACAGGAUCCUUCAAUCUCCAGUCUCUAAGGAAUGUGAUGACCCCUGGGCAGAGUCUAUGCUAAUAGCCAUCGUCAAUGACUACUGAAUGGUUGGGGUAUAGAGCGUUGCUCCGGUCUCUGAUGCAUAUCCAGUAAAACAAAAGACUAUGAGGACCUAAGAUCAGAUAUCUGUCCUGACCCCGAGACCAGCUGCCUCCCCUGCUGGGAAACCAGCCCAUAUAUAACUGGCCUAUAGUCUUUGUUCUGUGAGAUGGUUCUUUCGGACAUUAAUCAGCCAUCUUCCCCCUUGCUAGCAAGUUGUAAUAAAACCCUCUCUCUCUUAUCACCUUGCCUCAGGACUAUUGGCAUGUCUUGUGGUGAGCAGAGGACCUACCUUGGGCGGUAACAACUGGAUUUGAAAUAAACAUUUCAUUUUAUUUAGUUUCAUGACAGAAAACUACUGUUUACAAAUGUAGUUCCAUUCAAAUGUUGAUAAAUUUAUUGUGAAACAAUUCUCCUGGUGUUUCCUCUCAACAUGAUCUUUGCAUAGUAGUUGCCACGUUUUUCAAAAAAAUGUGAAACAGGGGCUGGCCCAGCUGCCCAGUGGUUAAGUUCUUGUUCUCUACUUCGGUGGCCCAGGGGUUCACCAGUUCAGAUCCUGGGCACAGACCUACACACCACUCAUCAAGCCAUGCCGUGGUGGCAUCCCACAUAGAGAAACUAGAAUGGCUUGCAACUAGGAUAUACAACUAUG